CAUCAACAGGCAAGUCUCAAGAACACGCUCGAGGAAAUGCUCAGAUUCAGGGUUUUCUCAUACAUUUGGCUGAAUCCUUGAGAAAUGGAGCUUUUGUUAACCCCCAGAAGGAGUUUUUGUCUUCUUUCAGUUGAGAAGAGCUUUUGCCAAGUUGUGUAGACUACUGGUGAGGAAACCACCCACCCAAGAGAGCCAGCCUAAACACACAGCCUGAAAUGACCAAAUCUGCACUGGCAUUUGUCAAGUGUUGUUCCGGGAGCGCACCUAACAGAUCCGAGGCCAUGGCGGGCGGCUGCUCCCGUGCUGGAGCAUGGGAGGAAAUCCUGAAGAACACAGAAAGGGCUGGGAGACCUGACUCUUGAAGAAAGGCAGACAGCAGGGAAGGAGGCAAAAGCUUGGACAAACUUCAAGGAAAAUGGGAGUAUGGCAAACUUAAUUACAUAGGAACUACUUAAGGCAAGUGAGUUGGGGAGACCUCGUUUUCCAGAAAAACUUCCUUAAGCAACUCGACUGUCAAGUGUCAGGGGACAAGAGGCUACCUCAAACGCUUCUAAAAAAAAAUCCACUAUAAUAAAGCUUCAGUUGUACAUUC